GUGGUCCCCUACUCACACUCACCCCUCUCAGGGACACGGCAGCAUGAAGCCAGUGGCUGCUCUGCUUCUGCUGGGGCUGCUCAUGCUCUGGACAGAGCUGCCAACAGGCAGCGCCUGGUCCUGCCCUCCUGUCCAGAUCACCUGUGCCAUGCACAACCCUCCCAACCACUGCUACGCAGACUGGCAGUGCCCGCGCUUGCAGAGGUGCUGCCCGACCUUCUGCGGCAGAAGGUGCAGGCCGCGCGUGAGCCUGACCUACGCGUGAGCUGCUGCUCCCAGCCCAGAGCGAGUUCCUUCUCAGCAGCCUUGUGUGGUGCCGGCUUCCCUCAGCUCUGCUAAGGCCUGUCCUGCCCCAGGAGGAUGGGCACAGCCAUCAAGCCCGUGCUCAGAGACCACCUGGGCUCCAGGACCACUCUGCUGCCAGCUGCUGCAGUGUUUCAUGCUGCCUCCUCGCCCUCUCCCUCUGCUCCCCCACUGCUGUUAUAACAAAUAAAAGAGCCUCUCCCAGGGAUGCUCACAACUUGCAA